GGGCCCGCACAAGCAGUGGAGUAUGUGGUUUAAUUCGACGCAACGCGAAGAACCUUACCAGGUCUUGACAUCCAAAGGACCCUUUAGAGAUAGAGGGGUGCCCUUCGGGGAACUUUGAGACAGGUGGUGCAUGGUUGUCGUCAGCUCGUGUCGUGAGAUGUUGGGUUAAGUCCCGCAACGAGCGCAACCCUUGUGAAUAGUUGCUACGAAAGAGCACUCUAUUCAGACUGCCGUUGACAAAACGGAGGAAGGUGGGGAUGACGUCAAAUCAUCAUGCCCUUUAUGACCUGGGCUACACACGUACUACAAUGGCCGCGAACAAAGGGAAGCGAAGCCGCGAGGCGGAGCGGAUCUCGAAAAGCGGCCUCAGUUCAGAUUGCAGGCUGAAACCCGCCUGCAUGAAGACGGAAUUGCUAGUAAUCGCGGAUCAGCAUGCCGCGGUGAAUACGUUCCCGGGCCUU
rnacentral:rRNA from 1 species